ACGAACGCUGGCGGCGUGCUUAACACAUGCAAGUCGAACGGGUCUGCCCUGUUUUUUGCGGGGUGGGUCAGUGGCGAACGGGUGAGUAACACGUGAGUAACCUGCCCCUCACUUCUGGAUAACCGCUUGAAAGGGUGGCUAAUACGGGGUGUUCUGGCUGUGCCGCAUGGUGUGGCUGGGAAAGAUUCACUUUUGUGGUGUUUUGGUGGGGGAUGGGCUCGCGGCCUAUCAGCUUGUUGGUGGGGUGAUGGCCUGCCAAGGCUUUGACGGGUAGCCGGCCUGAGAGGGUGGGCGGUCAGAGUGGGACUGAGAUACGGCCCAGACUCCGGCGGGAGGCAGCAGUGGGGGGUAUUGCACAAUGGGCGGAAGCCUGAUGCAGCGACGUCGCGUGAGGGAUGGAGGCCUUCGGGUUGUGAACCUCUUUCGCCGGUGAAGAAGGUCCUGCUCUGUGUGGUGGGGUUGACGGUAGCCGGGUUAUGAAGCGCCGGCUAACUACGUG
rnacentral:rRNA from 1 species